rnacentral:sRNA from 1 species
GCUUAGUCUCCGCCGGCCAAACCGGAGGAGAGCCGGGGACCCAGGUUUCCCGGGGUGAAUCGGCGGCCCUGGCGGUCACGUUGGACCGGCUGGACCACCGUAGGGCGGCUUCCCGGCCCGAACCCGUCAGCUGACCCGGUAGGCGUCUAGGAGAAGGGGC